AGAGUUUGAUCCUGGCUCAGGACGAACUCUGGCGGCGCGUCUUAAGCAUGCAAAGUCGGGGCGGGAUCCAUGCGCUUGCGCAUGGGUGAAGAGCGGCGGACUGGCGAGUAACACGUGGGGCGACGCGCCCUCCGGACGGGAAUAGCCUGUAGAAAUACAGGGUAAUGCCGGAUGCGAACGCGCGCGCUGGAGGCGCGCGUGGAAAGCCCCCACGGGGGCGCCGGAGGAGCGGCCCGCGGCCCAUCAGCUUGUAGGCGGUGCAAGGGACCACCUAGGCUACGACGGGUACCCGGCCUCAGAGGGCGGACGGGCGCAUUGGGACUGAGAUACGGCCCAGACUCCUACGGGAGGCAGCAGCUAAGAAUAUUCCGCAAUGGGGGGAACCCUGACGGAGCGACGCCGCGUGGGCGAGGAAGGCCGGAAGGUUGUAAAGCCCUUUUGCGCGCGAGGAAUAAGGGGAGGAGGGAAUGCCUUCCCGGUGACUGUAGCGCGCGAAUAAGCGCCGGCUAAUUACGUGCCAGCAGCCGCGGUAACACGUAAGGCGCGAGCGUUGUUCGGAAUCAUUGGGCGUAAAGGGCGUGUAGGCGGCCCUGCAAGCCUGGCGUGAAAUCCCGGGGCUCAACCCCGGAACCGCGCUGGGAACUGCUGGGCUGGAGCCGCUGUGGCGCAGCCGGAAUUCCAGGUGUAGGGGUGAAAUCUGUAGAUAUCUGGAAGAACACCGAUGGCGAAGGCAGGCUGCGAGCGGACGGCUGACGCUGAGGCGCGAAGGCGCGGGGAGCGAACAGGAUUAGAUACCCUGGUAGUCCGCGCAGUAAACG
rnacentral:rRNA from 1 species